rnacentral:rRNA from 1 species
GGAAUAUUGGACAAUGGGCGCAAGCCUGAUCCAGCCAUACCGCGUGGGUGAAGAAGGCCUUCGGGUUGUAAAGCCCUUUUGUUGGGAAAGAAAUCCAGCCGGCUAAUACCUGGUUGGGAUGACGGUACCCAAAGAAUAAGCACCGGCUAACUUCGUGCCAGCAGCCGCGGUAAUACGAAGGGUGCAAGCGUUACUCGGAAUUACUGGGCGUAAAGCGUGCGUAGGUGGUUAUUUAAGUCCGUUGUGAAAGCCCUGGGCUCAACCUGGGAACUGCAGUGGAUACUGGAUGACUAGAAUGUGGUAGAGGGUAGCGGAAUUCCUGGUGUAGCAGUGAAAUGCGUAGAGAUCAGGAGGAACAUCCAUGGCGAAGGCAGCUACCUGGACCAACAUUGACACUGAGGCACGAAAGCGUGGGGAGCAAACA